rnacentral:lncRNA from 1 species
AUCUGUGUACUCGAGUCCUCCUGAAGAGAAUCCUUGUCUUGGCCUGAGUAGAGAGAGCACUUGCAGAACUGGUAGCUGUUUCCUGUUGAUUGUGCUUCGUGAAAUCAGUUCCUAUACAUCUUCAACUGUGCGCUGUCUUUAUCUUGAACUGAAGGCCACAGACUUAAUGUGUGGAGGAAAGAAAAAAGUGAUAAGAAAACAAAGCAAUGAGGACUGGAGGGGAAGAAAAGGACUUAAGUCUUUUGCUCUGACUUGCAAACAGGAAAGUUUCCCAUUAGAAUGCAACUCUGAUGGACUGGAUAGCUGUGUGCCCACCCUUGAAGCUGUAAGCAUCCUGGACACCCAUUCCAGAAGGAUGUUUUUGUCAGAUGGACAUAGUACUUUCUCUGAUAUUUAUAAGUUUUUACUGCCUCAGAAAUUGAAGAUGGAGAUUCCACUUUAGGAAAAUAUUAAAACAAAGAUUUCAAAGGGGCUUCAGAAAAUGCUUAAAGGUAGUCUUGUGGCAGUGGCAGCUGUCGGGCCAAAUUGGAACUUCCUGCAAUUUCUCAGCCCUGCUUUACAUGGUACUGGGCAGAGCAGUCAUGGGUCCACUUUUCCUGUUCACUGCGGACUGCUCCUUCUGCACAACCAGUAUUAACUGCUUCAGGCUCCAUAAUGAAAUGCUGGUUUGGUUGUACUGGCAGAGCCCUGCUUCAAUCUCUAGAGGAUAAGUAACAUCAUUCCUGGGAAGUCUAGAGCUAAAGCAUAUCGGACUCUGACAGGGACAAUCAGAUUUAUAUAAUUUUCUGACAGACAGUUAAGCUUAAAGCUGUGCAAACUGAAAAUACACUGUCAAAUAAAGUUAAUAUUUUAGAAUCCGAAGGUUUUAACAGGCGAGACACUCAGACCUGUUCUCACAAAGAUGCUGCUUUUUUUCUCUUGUGUUUUCAGAAGUCUUUGGAAGUUGUGCUGCCAUCAGUCAAGACGCACAUAUGUAAAUCUGAUCCUUACAAAGAGUAAUAAAAAGAGCAUUUU